rnacentral:sRNA from 1 species
ACCUGCCCGGCGCGCCUCGCGCGCCGGGUGAAAGACAGACAUCCGCGCCACGGAAGAAUUGGGCGCAUUAGGGCGUU